UACCAGCACCCCGAGUGGUCGGCACGAUUAUUGGGCCUAAAGCAUCCGUAGCCGGUUCUACAAGUCUUCCGUUAAAUCCACCUGCUUAACAGAUGGGCUGCGGAGGAUACUAUAGAGCUAGGAGGCGGGAGAGGCAAGCGGUACUUAGUGGGUAGGGGUAAAAUCCGUUGAUCCAUUGAAGACCACCAGUGGCGAAGGCGGCUUGCCAGAAUGCGCUCGACGGUGAGGGAUGAAAGCUGGGGGAGCAAACCGG
rnacentral:rRNA from 1 species